rnacentral:rRNA from 1 species
CAAUAGCGUAUAUUAAAGUUGUUGCGGUUAAAAAGCUCGUAGUUGGAGUUCUGCCAGGUGCCGUCUGUCCGCCCCAGUGGUGAGUACGUGACGCGCAUUUGGCCCUUUCAAGGGGAGCGUAUCUGCACUUUACUGUGUGGUGCGGGAUCCUUGACUUUUACUUUGAGGAAAUAGGAGUGUUCCAAGCAGGCUCUCGUCGUGCACAGCUCAGCAUGGAAUAAUAGCAUUGGACCUCGAUUCUAAGCUGUUGGUUGCCAGAAGCGAGGUAAUGAUGAAGAGGGAUAGUUGGGGGCAUUCGUAUUUAACUGUCAGAGGUGAAAUUCCUGGAUUUGUUAAAGACGGACUACUGCGAAAGCAUCUGCCAUGGAUGUUUUCAUUGA